GCGCCCGUAGCUCAGCUGGAUAGAGCGUUGCCCUCCGAAGGCAGAGGCCACAGGUUCGAAUCCUGUCGGGCGCGCCA
rnacentral:tRNA from 1 species